GAUUAANCCUGCAUGUCUAAGUAUAAGCAAUCUAUACUGUGAAACUGCGAAUGGCUCAUUAAAUCAGUUAUCGUUUAUUUGAUAGUACCUUACUACAUGGAUACCUGUGGUAAUUCUAGAGCUAAUACAUGCUAAAAACCCCGACUUCGGGAGGGGUGUAUUUAUUAGAUAAAAAACCAAUGCCCCUCGGGGCUCCUUGGUGAUUCAUAAUAACUUAACGAAUCGCAUGGCCUUGCGCCGGCGAUGGUUCAUUCAAAUUUCUGCCCUAUCAACUUUCGAUGGUAGGAUAGUGGCCUACCAUGGUGGCAACGGGUAACGGGGAAUUAGGGUUCGAUUCCGGAGAGGGAGCCUGAGAAACGGCUACCACAUCCAAGGAAGGCAGCAGGCGCGCAAAUUACCCAAUCCCGACACGGGGAGGUAGUGACAAUAAAUACUGAUACGGGGCUCUUUUGGGUCUCGUAAUUGGAAUGAGAACAAUUUAAAUCCCUUAACGAGGAACAAUUGGAGGGCAAGUCUGGUGCCAGCAGCCGCGGUAAUUCCAGCUCCAAUAGCGUAUAUUAAAGUUGUUGCAGUUAAAAAGCUCGUAGUUGAACCUUGGGUCUGGCUGGCCGGUCCGCCUCACCGCGAGUACUGGUCCGGCUGGACCUUUCCUUCUGGGGAACCCCAUGGCCUUCACUGGCUGUGGGGGGAACCAGGACUUUUACUGUGAAAAAAUUAGAGUGUUCAAAGCAGGCCUUUGCUCGGAUACAUUAGCAUGGAAUAAUAGAAUAGGACGUGCGGUUCUAUUUUGUUGGUUUCUAGGACCGCCGUAAUGAUUAAUAGGGAUAGUCGGGGGCGUCAGUAUUCAGCUGUCAGAGGUGAAAUUCUUGGAUUUGCUGAAGACUAACUACUGCGAAAGCAUUCGCCAAGGAUGUUUUCAUUAAUCAGGGAACGAAAGUUAGGGGAUCGAAGACGAUCAGAUACCGUCGUAGUCUUAACCAUAAACUAUGCCGACUAGGGAUCGGGCGGCGUUUCUUUUAUGACCCGCUCGGCACCUUACGAGAAAUCAAAGUUUUUG
rnacentral:rRNA from 1 species